rnacentral:lncRNA from 1 species
UGUUAGAAUACCGUAGGGUAUACCUGAGCUAUAACCACCUGUGGGGGUACCACAGGCAUGUCCUCUUGGCACCGAGGCAUGACACCUUCCGUGGCGGUGUGAUCAGUCCACGGCGUCUCCGUUUUGUGCUCCGGUGGGAGUUGGCCAUUUGGUGUUUUGUUGUGGGAGGCGUAUGGGUCGACCCUAGUUUCUGUUCUGUUCUGUUCUGCGGAUUGGUGAUGUUUGUGCCAAACACACCUUCCGAUUUUGCAUGCAUCUGAAUUGCGCAGUCCGAUGUGUGAUUGCCUGUGUGGCAUUAUUUUGAUUGCCUGUGUGACAUUAUUUGACUUGCCUGUGUGGCAAGGUAUAUUACUAUUUAUUCUGAGCUCGGUAUGAAAU